UUNUGAACUGGGUGACUAGAGUGUNUCAGAGGGAGGUAGAAUUCCACGUGUAGCAGUGAAAUGCGUAGAGAUGUGGAGGAAUACCGAUGGCGAAGGCAGCCUCCUGGGAUAACACUGACGUUCAUGCCCGAAAGCGUGGGUAGCAAACAGGAUUAGAUACCCUGGUAGUCCACGCCCUAAACGAUGUCGAUUAGCUGUUGGGCAGCAUGACUGCUUAGUAGCGAAGCUAACGCGUGAAAUCGACCGCCUGGGGAGUACGGUCGCAAGAUUAAAACUCAAAGGAAUUGACGGGGACCCGCACAAGCGGUGGAUGAUGUGGAUUAAUUCGAUGCAACGCGAAGAACCUUACCUGGUCUUGACAUGUACGGAGCCCUCCAGAGACGGAGGGGUGCCUUCGGGAGCCGUAACACAGGUGCUGCAUGGCUGUCGUCAGCUCGUGUCGUGAGAUGUUGGGUUAAGUCCCGCAACGAGCGCAACCCUUGUCAUUAGUUGCCAUCAUUAAGUUGGGCACUCUAAUGAGACUGCCGGUGACAAGCCGGAGGAAGGUGGGGAUGACGUCAAGUCCUCAUGGCCCUUAUGACCAGGGCUUCACACGUCAUACAAUGGUCGGUACAGAGGGUAGCCAAGCCGCGAGGUGGAGCCAAUCUCACAAAACCGAUCGUAGUCCGGAUUGCACUCUGCAACUCGAGUGCAUGAAGUCGGAAUCGCUAGUAAUCGCAGGUCAGCAUACUGCGGUGAAUACGUUCCCGGGUCUUGUA
rnacentral:rRNA from 1 species